UCCUACGGGAGGCAGCAGUAGGGAAUAUUGCACAAUGGGCGAAAGCCUGAUGCAGCAACGCCGCGUGCGCGAUGAAGGCCUUCGGGUUGUAAAGCGCUUUUCGGGGAGAUGAGGAAGGACAGUAUCCCCGGAAUAAGGCUCGGCUAACUACGUGCCAGCAGCCGCGGUAAAACGUAGGAGUCAAGCGUUAUCCGAAUUUACUGGGCGUAAAGCGCGUGUAGGCGGUUUGGUAAGUUGGAUGUGAAAGCUCCCGGCUCAACUGGGAGAGGCCGUUCAAUACUGCCAGACUAGAGGGCGACAGAGGGAGGUGGAAUUCCCGGUGUAGUGGUGAAAUGCGUAGAUAUCGGGAGGAACACCAGUGGCGAAGGCGGCCUCCUGGGUCGCACCUGACGCUCAGACGCGAAAGCUAGGGGAGCGAACGGGAUUAGAAACCCCGGUAGUCCUAGCUGUAAACGAUGUAGACUUGGUGUUGGUGGUGUAAAAGCCAUCAGUGCCGUAGCAAACGCGAUAAGUCUACCGCCUGGGGACUACGACCGCAAGGUUAAAACUCAAAUGAAUUGACGG
rnacentral:rRNA from 1 species